rnacentral:rRNA from 1 species
UUGGAGGGCAAGUCUGGUGCCAGCAGCCGCGGUAAUUCCAGCUCCAAUAGCGUAUAUUAAAGUUGUUGCAGUUAAAAAGCUCGUAGUUGAAUUUCGGGGUUCUACCGUUGGUCGGGCUAUUGUCUGUACUGGCGUGUAGAAUUUCUACCUUCUGGGGAACUAUCAUGUUAUUAAUUUAGCGUGGUAGGAAACCAGGACCUUUACCUUGAAAAAAUUAGAGUGUUCAAAGCAGGCUUAUGUCUGAAUACAUUAGCAUGGAAUAAUAAAAUAGGACGGUGGUCCUGUUUCGUUGGUUUCUGAAUCACCGUAAUGAUUAAUAGGGAUAGUUGGGGGCAUUAGUAUUCAAUUGUCAGAGGUGAAAUUCUUGGAUUUAUUGAAGACUAACUACUGCGAAAGCAUUUGCCAAGGAUGUUUUCAUUAAUCAAGAACGAAAGUUAGGGGAUCGAAGACGAUCAGAUACCGUCGUAGUCUUAACCAUAAACUAUGCCGACUAGGGAUCGGAUGAUGUUAUUUUUAAUGACUCAUUCGGCGCCUUACGGGAAA